GGGUUGUGAGGUUAAGCGACUAAGCGUACACGGUGGAUGCCCUGGCAGUCAGAGGCGAUGAAGGACGUGCUAAUCUGCGAAAAGCGACGGCGAGGUGAUAUGAACCUUUGACCCGUCGAUGUCCGAAUGGGGAAACCCAGUGUGAUCCGUCACACUAUCGUUAACUGAAUACAUAGGUUAACGAGGCGAACCGGGGGAACUGAAACAUCUAAGUACCCCGAGGAAAAGAAAUCAACCGAGAUUCCCCCAGUAGCGGCGAGCGAACGGGGAGCAGCCCGGAGUCUGAAUCAGCUUGUGUGUUAGUGGAAGCGUCUGGAAAGUCGCACGGUACAGGGUGACAGUCCCGUACACGAAAGCACACAGGUUGUGAACUCGAAGAGUAGGGCGGGACACGUGGUAUCCUGUCUGAAUAUGGGGGGACCAUCCUCCAAGGCUAAAUACUCCUGACUGACCGAUAGUGAACCAGUACCGUGAGGGAAAGGCGAAAAGAACCCCGGCGAGGGGAGUGAAAAAGAACCUGAAACCGUGUACGUACAAGCAGUGGGAGCACCUUCGGGUGUGACUGCGUACCUUUUGUAUAAUGGGUCAGCGACUUAUAUUCUGUAGCAAGGUUAACCGUAUAGGGGAGCCGCAGGGAAACCGAGUCUUAACUGGGCGUUAAGUUGCAGGGUAUAGACCCGAAACCCGGUGAUCUAGCCAUGGGCAGGUUGAAGGUUGGGUAACACUAACUGGAGGACCGAACCGACUAAUGUUGAAAAAUUAGCGGAUGACCUGUGGCUGGGGGUGAAAGGCCAAUCAAACCGGGAGAUAGCUGGUUCUCCCCGAAAGCUAUUUAGGUAGCGCCUCGUGAACUCAUCUUCGGGGGUAGAGCACUGUUUCGGCUAGGGGGCCAUCCCGGCUUACCAACCCGAUGCAAACUACGAAUACCGAAGAAUGUUAUCACGGGAGACACACGGCGGGUGCUAACGUCCGUCGUGAAGAGGGAAACAACCCAGACCGCCAGCUAAGGUCCCAAAGUCAUGGUUAAGUGGGAAACGAUGUGGGAAGGCACAGACAGCCAGGAUGUUGGCUUAGAAGCAGCCAUCAUUUAAAGAAAGCGUAAUAGCUCACUGGUCGAGUCGGCCUGCGCGGAAGAUGUAACGGGGCUAAACCAUGCACCGAAGCUGCGGCAGCGACGCUUAUGCGUUGUUGGGUAGGGGAGCGUUCUGUAAGCCGUUGAAGGUGUGCUGUGAGGCAUGCUGGAGGUAUCAGAAGUGCGAAUGCUGACAUAAGUAACGAUAAAGCGGGUGAAAAGCCCGCUCGCCGGAAGACCAAGGGUUCCUGUCCAACGUUAAUCGGGGCAGGGUGAGUCGACCCCUAAGGCGAGGCCGAAAGGCGUAGUCGAUGGGAAACAGGUUAAUAUUCCUGUACUUGGUGUUACUGCGAAGGGGGGACGGAGAAGGCUAUGUCAGCCGGGCGACGGUUGUCCCGGUUUAAGCGUGUAGGUGUGUGUUCCAGGCAAAUCCGGUUCACUUUAACACUGAGGCGUGAUGACGAGGCACUACGGUGCUGAAGUGAUAAAUGCCCUGCUUCCAGGAAAAGCCUCUAAGCAUCAGGUAACACGAAAUCGUACCCCAAACCGACACAGGUGGUCAGGUAGAGAAUACCAAGGCGCUUGAGAGAACUCGGGUGAAGGAACUAGGCAAAAUGGUGCCGUAACUUCGGGAGAAGGCACGCUGAUAUGUAGGUGAAG
rnacentral:rRNA from 1 species